GCAGUGGUGGUUCAGUAGUAGAAUUUUUGCCUUUCAUGCAGGAUACCUGGGUUCAAGUCAUGGCCAAAUCA
rnacentral:tRNA from 1 species